GUAUAAAUCAUCUGUCAGCCUUGAACUGGAAGUUGUGUGCAAUUUGUGAAACUAAAUUUUGGGUCCUUGUUGUUAUCCAUAUUCCGAGUUCGUGUGUGAAGUUCUUUUUGUAGAAAUGCUACCUUAGUAAGUCAUUUUGUUUUAUAGGAGUGACUUAUUCGUCACAGUAAAGAAUGUGUGACCUUUAUACAGCUUGUUUUGACUUGUUUGACAUGCAUUAUACACUUCAUGCGUGUGUUCACCAAAUUACAUUAUAUAGCAACGGAGAAUGCAGUGACUUCUAAUAUAGAUGCAAUCCCAAUGAUGCCAUUGCCAAAAAUUACAAAGCAUUAAUGUAAUUAUGAACAGAAAACACACAAUUUCACAAACAAUUUACUGGCAAUUCUGGUAAACUGAACAUGUGUAGGCCUGGGUGAGAAAAACAAAUUCCUUGUGAUGAAUGUAUAUAAAAGAAAAUGCGAAAUACAAAUUUAUGAUGGUCAUGCUGCAAACUACAUGAUCCCAGAAAUGUACAGUAACAAAGGUUUUACCACUUGUAAACAACAACAGGCCAGGCUUGUUGGCUGUUGCACAGCAAUUAUUCCCGCAUCAAUUAUGAUAGUGAGGAGAAUCUCACACAACAUUUACCUUCUGCACAAAUCCACUUCAUCUUUGCCUCAGAACAAUCCUGUGAGUUCUCAUUGGUGGUGUUUUGGGCUUCAAUCUCAUUUUCAUCAAGUGAUUUUCCCCUGGGAUCAUCAUCUACUCUCAAAGGCAAUGCUCUUUCAACAAAGCUUUCUACCCAGGGCACUCCCGAUCACAGUCUUCAACAGCUUACACAUGCAUUAGCAUGCCCCUUGGAAUUCUCAAUCAAGAAGCUUCUGUGUGCAGGAUGAACCUCUCCUAUGUUAAGUUUGCACAACCUCAAUGUUGAUCCUGAUUAUCUUGUCACUGGCCGCAUUAUGGGUUUCAUACGCAGUACAUGCUGAAACCUUUCCUUGAUGCCAUCCUCAAUGGAGUGACACAGCUCUGCUGGCAAGGCCUCCUCAUCGGCCUUUUCAGUUGCAUCCUUCACAAGCUUGUAGGUGUGUUCCCUUGGCAGGUGCCCGCUUUCCGCCAUCUCGAUCAUGAACCGCCUUGCAUCCCCGAUCCGCCCACUCUCGUAUAGCGAAUGUAUAAGAGGUGUGUACGUGCUUGAUGUCGCCAUCCCAUGCCCCCUCGCCACCAUUUCCCUCAUCCACUCAACGGCCUUGUCAACCUUAUUCACCGCACUGUAAUACCUCACAAACGAGUUAUAUGUCACCCGGUUUGGCAAGCACCCCUUCUUCACCAUUUCAUCGAACACCUCGUGCGCACGCUCCACGCGGUACGUCUUGCAGAGGCCAUUGAUAUAGCAGUUGUAGGUCACGACGUCCGGCUCCAGCCCCUUCUCCCCCAUCCUCCGGAACAGCCUCCCGGCCUCGUAGAUCCUUCUCCUGGCGGCCUUCCGGCACCCGGUCCCCGCCCCGAUCCGGCAGUACCAGGAAAUGAGCACGGUGUAGGUGUAGGAGUCAGGCCUGCAGCGCGCGCCGGGGCGCUCCAUCUGGUCGAGCAGGAACCUGGCCUCCUUGAACCGGCCGUUCCGGCACAGCGCGGCGAGCAGCGUGUUGUGGCACUGCGCGUCCGGGGAGCACCGGAGCUGGCGCGCGCGGUGGAAGGCGGCGAGGGCCUGCCGCGGGAGGCCCUCCUCGCCGAGCGCGCGGAUGACGUCGGUGAGCGCGGCGGUGGAGACGAGCGGGGCGUGCUCGCGGAGGAGGCCGAAGAGCGCGGGGAGCGCGCGGGCGCGGGCGAGGGAGAGCGCGGCGGCGCGGAGCGGGGCCUCGGUGAGCGGGACGGCGCGCGGGUUGGCAGCGUCGGAGUGGGACCAGUUGAGGAAGGCGAGGGUGAGCGCGGCGGCGACCCGGCGGUGGUAGGAGGAGGACGGGGCGGGGAAGGGCCGCUGCGGGCAGAGGCGGCCCGCGGAGCGCGGGAGGAUGAGGCGCGGGAUGGCGGCGAGCGAGGCGGCGAUGGAGGACGGGGAGAAGCCGCGGAAGGUGGGGGACGGGCGGAGCGCGGCGUCGAAGCGGCGGCGCUGGAGGAGGGCCACCAGGAGCUGCGGCACCAGGCGGGACGGCGACGGGGACGGGGCAGUGGAGGAGGACAUUUGGUUGCGGUUUUGGAGCCUGGGCUUUGGACUACGGCAGAGGGGUUGGUUUAACCGGGAGAGGCCUCCCCGCUGCAAUUUGCAACUGGGCCUGGAAAAUAGUUCUUCGGAAAUGAUAAAAAUCUGACUUCGGAUUUUUCGAGCACGGCAAAUCAAACGUUUUUUAUGACAAAUUAUAUUGUCCUGAGGAUGUCAUGCUUGCUAGUAAUAAAAAUUGUCAUCCUUACAACAACACAUUUAUUAUGCUUGCUAAGAAAAUUGUCAUCCACGACAAUGUAAUUUGUCUACCCGCAAAAAAAAGACAACGUAAUUUGUUGUUUCGGAUGUUCGGUUUGUCAUGCUCAAAAAGUUGAUGUUCUUUGAGCUCCGCCUUCUCUUUUGUUGUUCGGAAAUGGACUUUGAGUCUUUGCAAACACAAUAUUUUUUUUUUGGAUUUUUCUAUGUUGCAACAUGCAUUUGUUGUUCACAAUAGCUAUAUGUAAGUUGGGAGAAGGAACGGUUGGAGAAGGAUAGAGUUGGAGGAAGAAGAAAGAUGAACAGACGUUGGAUCUUAAUCUAAUGGCCUAGAAAAUCGAUUUACUUAAAAUAAUUUAUCAGACCACUUACCUAUAGUCACUCCCUUUGUUGGUAGUUGAAAGUUGACCCCUCAAAAAUUGUUGCUGGGACUUGGAACUUGAUUGUUGGCGCGGGUAACAGAAGUUAAAGUCUUGAUUUUGCGUGGCUAAAGGUUUAUUGACGUUAGCAAUUUUGAAGUGACUAGCCUACAUACAAGACUAGUUUAAGAUAAUGUUUUGAAUCGAUUAGUACUCACUAUGUUACAAUUUACAUUGCGGAGUUGUUUUUAAGACUUUUUUAUAUAACAUUGUGUGUUAUAAGAUUGAGGCACUUGGAGUCAACGUAUUCAAGAGCAUUCAUAACCAAUGGGUCGAAUAACAAGAAGCUGAGUAUUUGACAUAAAAACAUCAUAAUCAACUUUGCAGAAAACCACAUAUCUAUCGUAUUUAUUUUUUUAUUUGCAAGAAUCAUUUUCUUACAGUAAUAGAACUUUAUUGACCACAAGAUCAAGAGAUCAUUUACAAGGCAAGAUGAAAUAAAUGGAUGAUAGUGUCCCAAAAGGAGAAAGAUAUAGAGUUAAAUGCAGAUUUAGUUAGGCAAUUCGCCACUUCAUUAGCUUCUCUAUAACAAUGUUGAUAAUCAACAUGGCCACACUCACUUGCUAGUUGAUUUGCAUUCUGUGAUCGCAACAACAUUAGGAUCGAAGUAAUCUUCCUCUUUUCGCAAUGUUUCAACGGCAAAACAAGCAACCAGACUCAAGAAGCACCUAGUUGCAGUCAAUAUUCGCAGCCAAAUAGAUACCAUUUUGAUUAGCAAUUAUUUCAGCAGAAUCCACACUAGUCACAUGGGGUAUGAACCAGGUCGCCGCCGCAAGGAAAUUACCAUGAUCAUUCCUCUUGAUUGCAAGGGUUGUGACGUCCCGAUUCAAUGGUACACUAAUUAUACACGCAAACGUGUACGAUCAAGAUCAGGGACUCACGGGAAGAUAUCACAACACAACUCUACAAAUAAAAUAAGUCAUACAAGCAUCAUAUUACAAGCCAGGGGCCUCGAGGGCUCAAAUACAAGAGCUCGAUCAUAGACGAGUCAGCGGAAGCAACAAUAUCUGAGUACAGACAUAAGUUAAACAAGUGUGCCUUAAGAAGGCUAGCACAAACUGGGAUACAGAUCGAAAGAGGCGCAGGCCUCCUGCCUGGGAUCCUCCUAAACUACUCCUGGUCGCCGUCCGCGGGCUGCACGUAGUAAUAGGCACCUCCGGUGUAGUAGGAGUCGUCGUCAACGGUGGCGUCUGGCUCCUGGACUCCAGCAUCUGGUUGCGACAACCAGAAAGAAAGGAAAGGGGAAAAAGGGGGAAGAAAGCAACCGUGAGUACUCAUCCAAAAUACUCGCAAGCAAGGAGCUACACUACAUAUGCAUGGAUAUAUGUGUAAAGGGUCAUAUCAUUGGACUGAACUGCAGAAUGCCAGAAUAAGAGGGGGAUAACUAAUCCUAUCGAAGACUACGCUUCUGGCAGCCUCCGUCUUGCAGCAUGUAGAAGAGAGUAGAAUGAAGUCCUCCAAGUAGCAUCGCAUAGCAUAAACCUACCCGACAAUCCUCUCCUCAUUGCCCUGUUAGAGAGCGAUUACCGGGUUAUAUCUGGCACUUGGAAGGGUGUGUUUUAUUAAGUAUCUGGUUCUAGUUGUCAUAAGGUCAAGGUACAACUCCAAGUCGUCCUGUUACCGAAGAUCACGGCUAUUCGAAUAGAUUAACUUCCCUGCAGGGGUGCACCACAUAACCCAACACGCUCGAUCCCAUUUGGCCGGACACAUUUUUCUGGGUCAUGCCCGGCCUCGGAAGAUCAACACGUCGCAGCCCUACCUAGGCACAACAGAGAGGUCAGCACGCCGGUCUAAAUCAUAUGGCGCAGGGGUUUGGGCCCAUCGCCCAUUGCACACCUGCACGUUGCGAACGCGGCCGGUGAGCAGACCUAGCAACCUCCAUUACAAAGGAAGUUGCGUUACGCGGUCCAACCCGGCGCGCGCCGCUCAGUCGCUGACGUCACGAAGGCUUCGGCUGAUACCACGAUGUCGAGUGCCCAUAAUUGUCCCCGCGUAGAUGGUUAGUGCGUAUAGGCCAGUAGUCAGACUCAGAUCAAAUACCAAGAACUCGUUAAGCGUGUUAUUUUGAAAUAACCGCGAACGUCGACCAGGGCCAGGCCCACCUCUCUCCUAAGUGGUCUCAACCUGCCCUGUCGCUUCGCCACAAAGAUCCACACAGAGGGACGUUGGGACAAAGGUCCUUUCAGCCCCCAAUCCGUGAAUCACUCGCGGGUGCUCCACAAGCCGACCCGUCUUUAGUCACCACAUGUAUCAUGUAUAAAGUAUACAGUAUAUACCCGUGAUCACCUCCCGAGUGAUCACGGCCCGAUAGUAUAGCACAGCAGAUGGACAGGAAUGUAGGGCCACUGAUGGAAAACUAGCAUCCUAUACUAAGCAUUAGGAUUGCAGGUAAAGGUAACAAUAGUAGUAGCAAGGACGGGCUAUGCAUCAUGAUAGGAUUAACGGAAAGCAGUAACAUGCUACACUACUCUAAUGCAAGCAGUAUAAAGGAGAGUAGGCGAUAUCUGGUGAUCAAGGGGGGGGGGGCUUGCCUGGUUGCUCUGGCAAGGAGGGGUCGUCGUCGACGUAGUCGAUCACAAGGGCAGCAUCGGUCUCGGGGUCUAUCGGAGAGAAGAGGGGGAAGAAACAGUAAAUAUAAAGCAAACAUAGCACCACAAAGCAUAACAUGGCAAUAAGAUGUGCCGGGUGUGACCUAACGCGGUAGGAGGUGAUACCGGCGAAGGGGGGAAACAUCCGGGAAAGUAUCCCCGGUGUUUCGCGUUCUCGGACAGAUGAACCGGAGGAAAAAAGUUGCGUGUUCGCUAUGCAAGGGAUGUGUGGCGGACGAACGGGCUGCGUAUCCAGAUUUGUCUCGUCGUUCUGAGCAACUUUCAUGUACAAAGUUUUUUCAUCCGGGACUACGGUUUAUUUUAUAAUGAUUUUUCAAAGCUUAAUUGAAUUCUUGGGAUUAUUAUAUUUAGCUUAAACCGAACUGACUAAGUUAAAUUUGACUAGUCAAAGGACAGGUGUGGCCCACAUGUCAUAGACUAUUUACCUAAACAAUUAAACAAAUCUAACUUAUUUAAAAGGGUCUACAUGUCAUCUACUACUAGACUAACUUAACACUAAUUAAAACCUAGUAGUACUAAUCUAAGCUAGGGCCGGCCACUAAUGGGCAUAGCCCAACCGGCCACACGCAUGAUGCACACAUACACACACAGGAGCACACGGCCAUGGCCAACUGUACGCACACACACUAUGCAGAACACACUCACCCACACAUAGCUCUGUUUUCUGCUAACAAAAGAUAGCAUUUUGUGAUUUGCAUCGAAUUUAAUCUAUGCACUAAAAGGAUUUGGUCCAAUGGAAACAUUUGAGCAUUGUCAAGUGUACUACCCGCACAUAUCUAUUUUAACUAUGUUAGGCUUGAUCUAGUUGCUGUUUUGAGGUUGUUUAGAGGGCCAGUCAGCAUAAUAGAUGCAAAGCGGGCUACUGCUACAGUAACUGAACGUUACUGUAGCAGAGGAGCAGCAGCGGGCAGAGAAGCAGCAGCAGUGCAGCGGCGCGGCGAUGCUGGAGGUGGGCGUGGCCGGGCGUGGGCUCGACCACCCACUCAAUGCACACACACACUGCACGCACGCACUCACCACACACACAGCACGCCCGCACGCACACGGGGGCGCACCGCGCGAGCGGCAGAGGCGGCGCGCGGGCAGAGCAGCCAGGGGGGCGCACAGGCGAGCGCGGCGCUACGGGGCCCUACGCGCGUGCUGAGCACGACUGCGAGCUCGGACGAGCGCAUCGGCGAGCGUGGCCACGACGAGGAGCUCGACGGCGGCGCUGUGUUCGGACACCGUAGAAGCGGCGAGCUACGGGCGCAGCAAUUUAAAGGAGGAAAAGGAAGAGGUGACGGAGCUCACCGAGCGGCUCAAGGUGGCCCGUGGAAGAUUAGUAGCAGCAGAGUCGCCGGAGACGGAGGACGAUCGCCGGCGGCCGAAGCAAAGGGAACGGCUCGAUCCGCGGCGUAGCAGAGCUCUCCUGCUCGCGCUCGUGGUUGAGGACGAUGUAGUCGAGACCGGUGGAGACGAUGGACAGGACGGCGAAGCGAUGCGAUGGCUGUGGCCGCGUGGACGACGGAGAACGGCGGCGACCGCGUCGGUCUCCUCACCAGAACGAAGGAGAGGGAGAGGAGAGAGGUGGAUCUGGGGGAGGAGAGGCGCAAGUGGGGGGUGGGAAGGCGUCCCGAGGCGCGCUCGUGGCGGCCUUAUCCCCUCCGCGGCGCGCUGUAGCGACGGAGCCGGCGAGGUGGUCCGGCGGGAACGGGCGCCCGGCUCGGGUCGGGGGAACAGGGGGAUGAGAGAGUUGACCGGGGGGAGUGGGCCACUAGGCCGGCUCGGGUGGGCCGAGGCCUAGAGGGCAGGAGGCUUUCUUUCCCCUUUUCUUUUUCUUUUAAAACUUUUCUAAUUUCAUUUAACAGCAGCCUUUUGCAUUUUCUUUUGCACUAAUUAUCUUUUGCAAAAAUGUGCCACUGGUGAAAAACAAUACUAGGGGCAGUGGUGCACUGCCACCAUAAGCUUGGGAUUUAUUUGAAUCCAUUUGGAAUUUUCAUAAAUGGAGUGGCAUUUUAAAAUGCUAGAAUUGCACUGGAUUAAUUGCUACUGCUCAUUUUAGCAACAUAGUGAUGUUCCUUUUCUUAACAUCAAAUUGUUUUGGAAUAUCUUCUAAAUAAUGAACAUUUUUCCCGCAACUUUUUUUACAACUUCAAAUUUCACUUUGAAUUAGAAUAGAAUUCAGAGAAGGGAUUUGAGUUAAGAUAUUACCCCUAACAUGAUUAAGCUUUGUAAAUCAAGAUGACUAGGUACUGAUCAUAAGGGAUUACUGUAGUGUGAUGCUGGGGAUGUUACAAGGGUAGAUCUCUCACAAGAUUGCACCGAUUCUCCUAUCACCAAUUGUCUUUGUUGCCACCAGGUGAACCACGCUACAACAGAUGCAAGCUCCGAUGAUUGGCUGCCUCCAGUCAUAGUCUGCAACUUAGACACUUUGCAAAAAGCACUUUGAAGAGUGAGCGCUCAUUGACACUCUUAAUCUCAGGGAGUCCAACUUUUAAGGUAUGUAGCACAUGGUAACCAUUGGCAGCUGUAAAAUGGUUGCCAUGUGCGUUUUUUCCUCUCUCUCUCUCUCUCUCUCUCUCUCUCUCUCUCUCUGAUUCUGGGUUGCUGUGUGCAAAGCUUCACUGUCACCACUGUCUAGUUCCUACUCCAUGCCCAACGCUAGGUAGCUCGGAUUUUGGCCGGAGGUAGCAACUCGAUGGGACGACACACACCUCGUGACACUAUAAUAGAUUGAUUUUUUAUGAUUGGGAAUAUCAUACAAAUAGCGUAUAACUAGGUUGUCCUGUCCAUGACAUGUCGCUAAACAAUGCCAAAGCUCUUAUACCAAUUGGAAGGAUCGACAGGUCGACUAGAGGGGGGUGAAUACGAACUAUAAAUUUUAAGCUUAACUUCAAUUUUUUGGUCAAUUCGGAUAAAGUAAAUUCUCUAGAUAUGCAACUAGGUAAGAACAACCUAUAUGGCAAGCAAGCUCAAUGCAAAGUAUGCCAGGCAACAAUCUAAUUAGCCAUCCAAGAAGCAUACAAAAGCAAGUACCAUGCGAGAAAUGAUUAAUCACAAGUGACUCGAGGAUGAGAAAUUUAUCCCCAAGUUCAUACUCUUUGGGAUGUGUUAAUCUCCAUUGGAGUUGUGCCGAAGCCAAAGCUCCGGAACACCAACAAGUGGCUCACAAUAUUCUCACUCUAAGUCACCCAAUGCAUGAGCCUCAAUCACUCGGAGUUGGUCUUGAAGGCGACCACGACACCUUUACAAACUUCUCAAAGUACACCACAAGCAAGGAAGCUUUCAAGGAUGACCUAUACUACCUAGAAGCCCAAGCUCCAAGAGUGACAAGUGUUGAUGAAGAAAUUGAGCGGGUAGCACGAAUCGAUUUUAGUGAAAGUGCGGAUUGGGUCUUGCCUUUCUAUCCCCGAAGAAUAAAAUAGUUUGAGCCGGAUUUCUGCCUUGCGGUUCCAUUGUUGCCUUCACUCGUCAGAGUUGCAGCCUAACUGGUGCUCCAGCAGCACGCACACUCUCCGCGAGUUAUCUCUCCUGCCCGCUGCCGGUGGUCCAGUCUCGGAGCUAGCUAGGGCAUGGCCGCCAGUCACUACCACUGGCUCGCUGGUGGUCUCGAGUCAAACAUAGCCGGACAGGCAAGCCAGCUCGCAGCGAUCAUGUCGUGUUUUCCUUCACGAGCCGUGCAAACCUGUUUAUGGCCCUUGAAGAUAAUUUUCUUGUUUAUGAUAAUGGAGGGAACUAAGUAGACGGCGAGACCUCCUAUUCAGUGCCUUGUGCGCCAGUUGGUAGCUUAGCACUCACUCGCUAGGACCUACCAAAUAAGCGGGUUGCCCUUUGCUUGACUGGUUGACUUUGGGGGAAAACAUUGAAUUUGACCUUUUUUCAAAUUAAAAAGCACCUAAAUUGGAAAAUGAAUCAUGGAUUGAAAAAAGUUCACAAAAUUUAAAAAGUUUAUGGGUUAUAAGAAAAAGUUAAUGAAUGUGAGAAAAGUUUGCAAAAUUUAAAAAAGAUCACAAAUUUGAAAAACUUCAUUUAUUUGAUAAAAUUUUGCAGAUUUGAGAAAGUUCAUGCAUUUUUAAAAUAAGAGUAAACAAAUAAUAAAAAGUUCAAAAAAUGAAUUCUAAAAAAGUUCGUGAAUUUUAAAAUUGUUCACAAAAAAUCAAAAAAUAAUAUAUGGAAAAAACCGGAAAGGAAAACAAAAUAAAAUGAAACCCUGUAGAGAAAAUCCAGCAAAAAAACAUAUAAAAAACCUGAACCGGAAGCAUCCAGUAGCUUCCUAAAACCAAAGCUAGCUGGAGGGUUUAAUGGGCGUGUGUGUGCGCUGUGUCCGCCUAAGGAAGAAAACCGCGCUCAAGGCGGCUAAUAGGAAGCACGGUAAAUGUAUUAGGCCUUUGAAGCUAGAAAACGGCCUAGCUGGCCCACUUAGUAAUUCUCUCGUAUUUUUCUUCCACAGAGUGUUUCCGGGACUUCCUAUUCCGCGCCUUCAACGCCGUCUAACCCAACUGCUCGCUGCAGCGCCCUGGUGGGCUGGCUCACGAACGCGCAACGCCAGCGGAAAAAUCCUAAAAAAUAUGGACGCGUCUAGCGAGCGGCAGGGUGCUCGCUAGCGCUCUUGAGCGGCCAGGCAAAAAAGGAAACUGCCUGUCUCCCCUGUCCCAGGAAGGAAAGCGCUCACCCCCACCACUUUUCGGCCGCCUUUUUCCUGUCGAGAGCGCACAACAGAAACAGUCCCGAGCGGCCGGCAAAAAAGAAAAAUUUUGGUCCCCCGUACCAAAAAGGAAACCGCCGGUCCCCCACGACCAGCGCGCACCAGGCGGGCGUCCUGGAGCGGCCAGCUCCGCCAACCGAUCACGCCUCCACCCCAGCGCUACAAAAGCUCUCUCUCCUCUCCUUUCCUGUCCUUUCCUCCUUCCCCAAAGAUCUUCUUUUACCCACGAAAAAUGGUUGUCUGCUAAGGAAAACCCCUAGAUCGUCAUGGCAAGGAGAAGAAGCUGAGAUCCAAACUGAGGAAAUCAAGGGAAAAAGCUGCAACAAAAACCCUGUGAGUUUCCCCUUCUCAUAUCCCUCCCCUUCCCCUCUAUGCAUGUUGAUCCUCCCUACCUGCUGUUCUCUCAACCUUCUUGUGGAGAUCUUGUUACCAGCAAAAAAAAUCCCCCAGGCACUGAAGCCAACAGGCUCCCCUUUACUAUGUGUUAUGUAUGAACUCCUGUACCAUCUUUUGCAUAGUAUGUGCAAUUCUGGGGGGUGAAAAAGACAGAAGAUUAAUGGACCAUAAAACCAGCAAAAACAUGUGGAACUAGGUGAAAACCUUCAUGUGCCAACUUUUGCAUACUAUGUGCAACUAGAGAAGCCUUGAUGUACCAACUAUACUAGCAAACAUGUGCAACUGUGACGGUUGUGGUUUUUGAAGUUUCUGGUUUGUAGCACUGCACUAGGUACUUGGUCAGCUCCGUAGGCAGCGUCUCAGCUACGUUCAGAAGACCCCCCGAAUAGCCUCUCACACAAAUUUGCUCCUUGCAUUGGAGUCAGUUCUUUAUUCAACUUGACAAAUCUCCCUGGGGACGCCAUUAUCCUACCAGCCUGUGACGGGCAGUCUGGAUUCUCUCCAUUCAUCUCAACUUCUGCGUUGACAUUCUGGGUAUUAAAAAAAGAACAGUUGAGUGAAAACUUAUGCAAGUAUAUAACUAACCAUGCCAACUAAAAAAGGCUGGUGAUACCCUUCAUUUGAUAUUUUUAAAAAUACAACUAGAAAAUGAGAUACUGUUGGAUAAUGUUGAUGAUGCCAACUAAUGAGAUAUUCAUGUGCGACUAGAAAUGCUGAUGAUGCCAACUAAUGAGAUAUUCUUGUGCAACUAGAGAGGCUGAGGAUGUCAACUACUUGGAUAAUGUUGUCCAACUAGAAUUGCAGACGGUGCCAACUAAAGAGAUACUCUUCUGCAACUAGAAAACCUGAGGGUGCCAAAUCAUUAGAUACUGUUGGACAAUCCCUCAAAUUUUUUAAGAUGGGAUUAAUCUGAAUUCUUGUGCAACUAGAGAGGCUGAGGAUGUCAACCACUUGGAUAAUGUUGUCCAACUAGAAUUGCUGAGGGUGCCAACUAAAUAGACACUCUUCUGCAACUAGAAAAUCUGAGGGUGCCAAGUCGUUAGAUACUGUUGGGCAAUCCUCAAUUUGUUUUAGAUGGGACUAAUCUGAGUUCUUGUGCAACUAGAGAAGCUGAGGAUGUCUACUAGUUGUAUAUUGUUGUGCAACUAGAAUUACUGAGGUUGCCAACUAAUUAGAUACUAUUCUGCAACUAGAAAGCCUGAGGAUGCCAAGUCGUUACAUACUCUCGGGCAAUCCUCAAUUUUUUAAGAUGGGACUAAUCUGAGUUCUUGUGCAACUAGAGAAACUGAGGAUGUCAACUAGUUGUAUAUUGUUGUGCAACUAGAAUUACUGAGGUUGCCAACUAAUUAGAUACUAUUCUGCAACGAGAAAGCUUGAGGAUGUCAAGUCGUUACAUACUCUUCGGCAAUCCUCAAUUUUUUUUAAGAUGGGACUAAUCUGAGUUCUUGUGCAACUAGAGAAGCUGAGGAUGUCAAAUAGUUGUACAUUGUUGUGCAGCUAGAAUUACUGAGGUUGCCAACUAAUUAGAUACUAUUCUGCAACUAGAAAGUCUGAGGAUGCCAAGUCGUUACAUACUCUUGGGACAAUUCUAAAAAACUUGAAGAUCACAAUUCUAAAAAACUCUUGUACAGAUCAACACUCCAAUCAUCAAAAAUUCAAGCAUCAUACCAGAGAUUGGCUAGCAGGAUCACAAAAGUGAUGCAUCUGUACAAAUGAAUUUGACUGUUUUUCCUAGAAAAAUACCUAGAAGGGGUUGAGUUAACAAUCUGUGAGAAUGAAAAUGUUGUUAAUAUUUCAGUACUAGUACUAUUUGGGUAAGGUAGCAGACUAUACACGCAUAAGUGGAGGUGGAUUAGAUGACUGAAUGAAAAAUUAUCGAUAACAUAGAUGAAAUGCAUAGACAUCAAAAGUCUGAUUGCUCCCAUCAAUAUCUGGUAAGAUAAGAUUACAACUGUUAAGCUACAAAAUUUGCAUUUUCUACUUCAGCUGCCAUAGAAACCCAAGUUGAAUCAACAUCGCAAGUAAAUUUCCCAAGUCUAAGUAUCAUCGCUUGUGCAACUGGUUAGCCCUUAGUGUGCAACUUCAUAAGUUGGCUAGCCAACUGAGAUAUGUAUAUGAGUCAUCCAACUACGUUUGCGUUCCUGUGCAACUAUUACAACAAACUAGCCAACUAGUUACUUACAUGUGGCAACUUACGAGAAAACAGAGAAACCACACAGAUGCAUUUACAAGAAAAAAAGAGGUACAUAAUGUAAUGAAGCUCUAGAGAGAGUAUCAUGUUUAACGGGACAAUUGUAGUCUAGGCAAAAAUAGAUGGAUCAAGAUAGGAUGCUGAACCAUAUCAAUAGUUGUGAAAUUAGAACAACCCGCCGCGAAAAUCCAACUCAACCCUAAUCGCUGUACAAACUCACCACUAAUCCUAAUCACCAUAGCUCCUUGAGCAAGAUGCCGAAAGUACUGUACAUAUGCGGACGAGAGUAUGCAUGCUUCUAGUUUACAAAUAGUAGUUGGUCGUGCUUACAAUGACCCGCGUCUAGCUAAAUUGAAGUAAGCAAUGUGAGAGCUAGAUUCAUCUAGCCAAUUUAGUAUUGUUGUGUUGUGUAACUGCUUGAUGGUCAUAUCCAACUGAGAACUAUUAUGUGUGCAACUACAACUGCUACACAUGCCAACAAAAAAAUAUGAAUAGCAAAAUAGAUCAACUUAAACAAGGCUUAAACAAAAAUGUCAUCUAGUCUUUGUAUCUUCAUGAAAGUGGAUAGGAUUUUCUAUACCUGAAGCAUACAGAGGCAACAAGCAUAGCACAAAAGUAGCAGAAUGUAGGACACCCAAUUUCAUCCAAAUCAACGGCCUUCUAGCGAGUGUGCUACAGAGAUAAGAUUAAGCUGUAUCAGAAAUGCGUACUGAUACAAGUGCCUGUGCAACUUGAGCGGCAGUAGAAAAAACAACUUGCAUUUCCUGACAUGACAUACCAGAUAUUGAUGGGAAGCUGCCAUGAGCUCGUACAAGGCCAAGUUGAAUCACAGCCGCGCGGAGCUGCCAUUAGCUCGUACAAGGCAUGUGUGUAAAAAUCAUCAGCAGCAGCUUGCUAGUAUUUCCGUCCCUGCGUUCAAACACCACCUGAAAGACCGUCCAGAUUGACGAACGCAAAGCAUGCUAGUAUCUCCCUUCUCCGCGUUCAACUACCAUCUGAAAAGAGACCGUCCAGAUUGGUCAUUGACCCUGAUACAACACAAAAUGAUGAUCCUGAUAGAACACAGAAUAAUGAUCCUGAUGAACUUAUGCUACUAGUUAACACGAACCACAUUAUGAAUUGAUCAUUGUGAGAUAGUUACACAUUAAGUCAGACAACAAACUUGUACACCUAACUCUGGUCGACCAUAGCAACUCAAACUAGAAAUUGAUGUACGAAAUGCAGACUAAUCCCAUCAUUGCAAUGGAAGGAACACCCAUGUCAGGUAUAAAUGCAUCAGAUCAAAUACCAGAAACAAAAAAAGCAAAUGAUGUUCCUGAAUUACUGCAUCAGGUGAUCUGGUGCUGGAUUCUGUUGAUCCCUUAGCUAGCUCGUACUUGUUCUUAAAUUUUUUUGCAGGCAUCCAUUGCAACUAUGCAGAGAGAGAGAGAAGAGAGGCCUCAGGGAGCACCUCCACGUCCUCCAUGUAGCCGAGUGACGGGGGAGAGGUGGUGGUGUUGGUGGUGCACGACCGUCCGUGUGGACGUCGUCAAUGGCGGAGGAGGCAGCCGGGUUCACGUGGUGGUGGCGCGACACCGCGGCCCGAUCUGGAUGAGGCGGGUCUUGGACCUCAUGCCUGGAGCUCGUGGGGGAGGCGAGUGCUAGGGCCUCGUCUUCACCGUGGUAGAGGGGAUGGAGGUACGAGCAGGGAGGGCCAUGGCCUAGAUCCAUGGCUCCACGGCGGCCUGGACCGCACCGUCGCCGGGAAGGUUCCGGGUGGGGGAUCUCAGGGUCGAGCCAGAGGAGGAGGCCGGCUUGUGGAUGCGGUCAUGCGGAUCCGGAGAGGGCCGCGCUCGGAGGAGCCGACGGCGACUGGAUCCAGAUGAAUUUGGGGAGAUGCGAGACAGUGAGAGACAGCGGGGUGGAUGGUGGGCAGGCCGGCUGGCUGGAAUGGGAUGACGAUGUGGGCUCCCGACCAGAUGACAUCUGGAGUGGGGAUGCACGCGUGUGAUUGAAAUCGUGUGGUUGACAGCCGGCCGCUCGGUCUCGCAAAAAAGUGCGCGUGCACUUUUGAGAUUUCGGGAAAAAAUAUUGUCACGCCGAGGAUUCAAAGUCACACCCUUGCUUUCCUACACCCGCUCGGCUAACCAAUAAGGCUACCAGGUACUCCCUCCGUUUUAAAAUAGAUAACCCAACUUUAUACUAAAGCUAGUACAAAAUUGAGCCAUCUAUUUUAGAACGAAGAGAGUACUAGUUAUCCAUAGUACCUCGAAAAGAGCUAAGGACAAUAGUAGCUGCACUAUUCCAAACAAUGGAAGUUCAGAGAUUAAGAAAAUGUUCACAAAUAUAUUUUUUUGAAAAGAAAAGGCUCACGUAUUCAAAAAUGUUCACAGAUAAUGAAAAAGUUCACUAAUUUAAGAACAAAGUUCACGGAAUUUUAAAAAGAUCACUAAUUUAAGAAAAAAUCACGAGUUUGAAUUUUUUUAUGGAUUCAGAAAAGUUCAUGAAAUACAAAAAAAGUUCAAGAAAAUUGAAAAAAGUUCACUAAUUUGAGAAAAAGUUCAUCAAUUUAUAAAAUACUCCGUCCAUCCCAAAAAAAUUGUCCCCCAAAUAGAUGUAUCUAGCAUCAAGUUAGUGCUAGAUACAUCCAUAUGAGAAACAACCUUGGGACACGUUUUUUCAGACGGAGGGAGUAGUUCAUCAAAUUCGAAAAAUGUUCGUUGAUUUUGAAUAAAAAUCCAAUUUGAAAAGGCUCCUCAAUUUUUUUUUAAAAACUGCAUCAAAUUAAAAAAAAUCAUCCAUUUUGAGAAAAGGUUAACGAAUUUAAAAUAACUGCGCAUUAAAGAAAACAAAAUGAUGAGAAAAAAGAAAAGAACCGAACUGAAAAAUCAAAUAAAAGAAAGAAAAUUACAUUAAUGUGGCGAUGGCUUGGUGUUUUGAAUGUCCGGUUCGACACCGAACGCCCUCACUUUUUUGACGUAAAACAGGAAAAAACUGGAAUGGGCCGGGCCAGCUUUGAGUGCUUCAGACGCCCAUUUACAAAAUGAACUGUAACGGACGCCUGAAGCGCCAAAUAGGAUGCAAAAUGCACUGUAACGGUGUCUGAAGCGUCAAAUAGGAUGUGCCAGUGUUUCCAGCUCCUCAAAAAAUGAGUGUUUGUUCCGUACUUCUUCGACAAUUUUGAUGGCAUUGGUAGCUCGUCGGAGUUCAUGUGUGUGUCCGCAUCGAGCCCGGGCACUUGCCCAAGGUGCAUGCACGAUAAAAUUGCCUCUCGCGAAAAGUACGAGGAUGUGACGAUCACAUUUUUGGUAUUUUUAAGUGUCGCAUUACGAAAAAGACAACGCCCGUACCUUUUCUGGCGCUUGUAAAACAGGAAAAAAAAACUGGAACGAGCCGGGCUAGCUUGGAGUGUUUCAGGCGACCAUUUGCAAAAUGGAUUGUAACAGGCGCUUGAAGCGCCAAAUAGGAUGCGCCAGUGUUUCCAGCCCCUAAAAAAUGAGUGUUCGUUCCGUACUACAUUGACGAUUUUGAUGGCAUUUGUAGCUCGUCGGAGUUCAUGUGUGUGGCCGCAUCGAGCCCAGACACUUGCCCAAGAUGCAUGUACGAUAAAAUUGCCUCUGGUGGAAAGUACGAGGAUUUACAAUUAUAUUUUUGGUAUUUGUAAAUCCUCAUCGGCCGAAGACAUCGAAUUUGAGGCCCAAGGUGCACGGGGUUGACCCCGGCCAACGCUCCACAACGAUAUGUGCUCUGCCGCCUGCUGCAUUGGUUUCUCGGCUCACAAAAUAGUGAUGUGAUGGUGCUCCGACGACUGUUCAGUCUGUGGUGUUUGUCUCCUACUCCUCCGGCGACGUUGUUGCUGGUGAACGAUGGCAGGCAAACAUUUGGUUCUGCAAUCAACCCCCUCAAGGAUCAAUUGUUAAAUUUCUUUUAUGUGGGUGUUUUUUGCUGAUGUGCUGUGACGGUUGUCCUUUCUGGAAUUGUCUAGUGUGAACUACGUGUGUUGUAAAUUUCAAUAUUAUAUUAUAAACACGUGGUUUUCUUUAGAAAAAAAGGAUAAAUGCUAAGCUCCUUCACUAAAUUUCGUCUGGCUUUUUCGUUGGGAAGGCCGGGGCAGUAUACUAGUAGUAACUGGUAGUGUUCCAUAGUUUUCUUUCCAGCUCUCGGGACACACUAAUAGGAUGGACCUAAUAGUAAUGCUCCCUCCAUUUUUAUUUAUUCCGCAUUAGAUUUGACUAAAGUCAAAUUAUGUCUAAUCAAGUUUAUAGAAAAGAAUAAAACCCUUUCCCAUAACUUAUCUAUAUGAUGUGGAAGUACAUUUAAUAAUUGAAUCUAAUGCUAUUGAUUUGUUAUUGUAUACGUUCAUAUUUUUAUCGAUAAACUUAGUCAAAGUUUAUGAAGUUUGACUUUGACCAAAGCUACUAUUUGAAGUAAAUAAAAACGGAGGGGAUAACUGACUAGCUAUUUGUACAUACGGAAAUUCACAAGGACAUGCAGGUACGUGGGCAUGCACCUGCACGGAGGACGUACUACGCGAGUGAGGCUGUGUGUUGUAAUUGCCGCUGGCUACGAGCCUAGGAGGCUAGGACUUGGCUUCAGAGAGUAACAAUAACAGUAAUAAUAACAUUGACUAAAGCCGUGUUUGCUGGCUACAACGGAGAAUCGCCUGCACAAGCCGUGCCAACUAACCCGGUGCACUAAUUUAGUUCCCCCACCAAAUGUAGCCUGUCUCUUUCAUUGCUGCUUCUUUGCCGCUGGCCGGUACUACAAAACCUACACCCUAAGGCUAAACGCUAAGCCACUUAACUAAAUUUUGCAUGACAUUUUGUCUGAAUUUUGUCUAAGGGUCAAAAAAAGUUGUCUGACUUUUUCAGUGGGAAGGCCGGGGCAGUACACUAGUAGUUACUGGUCGUGUUUCUUUCAGUUCUCUUUCCAGCUCUCAUACCACACUGAUAGGAUGGAGGCAUGGAGCUAAUCCUAACUGGCUAGCUAUAUAUAGAUAUACUUGUUACUGGCAACAAGCCGAAUGUGAGGGUUGUAUCAUGAAGCAAUGUGCUAAAAAACCGGUGCCAACCUAAGCUCUUUUUUUUCAGCCGCGGUGCCAACCUAAGCUAGUCCAGGUGCUAGCUUAGUCUAACCAUCGUAGGAGGGUGUCCAAGCUAGAAAUCUUAUGGCACCGAUGCCACGGUUGGGACCGAGACCAAGCAAACACUCCUAUAUGAGACGCAAUGUGAAUAAAAUUCUCCCUUUGAUCCAUAUUAAUUGACGCUGGUUUAGUAUAAAGUUGCAUUAAGUUUGUUUGUAUUAAACCAGCGCCGAUUACUAUGGAUUGAACGGACUAAUAUUUUUUGUCCGAGCAAGGAGAAGAGACAAAGGACAGAUCGUGCUAAAUUGUUUGAACCAGGGUUGUGAACGAGCCAAGUUUGAGUGAAUCCUUUCAGAUUUGACUAGGGCUUGGUAGAAGCUUGAGUCGAGCUUGAGCAAGUCCGAGCUAGACUUCGAGCUCGAUGAUAUGCUCGAGCUCGGCGAGAAAGAAGCUUGUGAAGGCUAGACAAGUUUUAAGUUUUGGUUCAUGAAACUUAUGAUUUUGUCGGUCGCAACUUCUGAAACUUAUGAUUUUGUCGGUCGCUCGUACCAAGUUUCACGAUUGAAACUUAAAACUUGCGAUUUUGUCGGUUGCAGCUUCUUGAACUUACGAUUUUUCUGAUCGCUUGUACAAAGUUUCAGAGUCGAAACUAAAAACUUAUGAUUUUAUCGGUAGCUCGUACCAAGUUUCAGGGUUGAAACUUAAAACUUACGAUUUUGUCGGUCGCAGCUUCUGAAACUUAUGAUUUUUAUGAUCGCUUGUACAAAGUUUCAGAGUUGAAACUUAAAACUUAUGAUUUUGUUGGUCGUAGGUUAUGAAACAUACUAUUUUAUGCCCGCUCGUACCAAGUUUCACAAGUUGGAAGUGAACAAAAGUUUUAAAACUCAUCGAAGCGUUUUCAGAAUAGCCAUUGUCAGCAGAAACACCAAUAUAAAAAAACUUAGUUUUGACUUUUAGUUUAAAAAUAUAGUAUGAAAGAUUGAAAAUCAAAAGCCAAAAGAAAAAGGGGUUGCCACAAAAUAAUACUAUUGCACUUCGCACCAGGUCCUUGAUAAACAAUACAAUAACUGUGCAACUUAUUUCCGUAGAAUAUCUGUAGUUUUCUUACCGAAACAUUGCUAUUCCUUCGUGAAAAUGAAAAUCUUUCCUUGAUUAAUUUUAAUAUCGAAUCUAUAGCUUCCNNNNNNNNNNNNNNNNNNNNNNNNNNNNNNNNNNNNNNNNNNNNNNNNNNNNNNNNNNNNNNNNNNNNNNNNNNNNNNNNNNNNNNNNNNNNNNNNNNNNNNNNNNNNNNNNNNNNNNNNNNNNNNNNNNNNNNNNNNNNNNNNNNNNNNNNNNNNNNNNNNNNNNNNNNNNNNNNNNNNNNNNNNNNNNNNNNNNNNNNNNNNNNNNNNNNNNNNNNNNNNNNNNNNNNNNNNNNNNNNNNNNNNNNNNNNNNNNNNNNNNNNNNNNNNNNNNNNNNNNNNNNNNNNNNNNNNNNNNNNNNNNNNNNNNNNNNNNNNNNNNNNNNNNNNNNNNNNNNNNNNNNNNNNNNNNNNNNNNNNNNNNNNNNNNNNNNNNNNNNNNNNNNNNNNNNNUUAUCACUGCUUAUUACUCCCACAUGACCGUGUAGUACCAUCAACACAAUCCAAUGCUCAACAUCCACCCAUCGACCACAUGAAGGUGCCUCUACUUGAUUGCGACGACUCGGCAUUAAAAAUGGGAUGCAAGUGUAAGAUUCGCCUUGGCAGAGCUACAUUCCAGCAGGACGAACAGAGCGUAGCCUGAUAGUCCAUAGCACUAUACCAGGCACAAGAAGGAGCACGAAACGUGAUUCAAAUAGGGUGUGGCGUCAUUAGCGACAUGGGCGUACAGGGAAUGUCAUUACGUCACGUUUGUUUUUGGCACUGCUGCUUUGCAUUUUACUACUAGACUAGACAAUGACCGCAUACAUUGUCGAGCAUCUCAGUUUCCUCUCCGUACAUGUUUCGACGGACGGAUGGAUGGAUGGAUGGAUGCAAAGCUCUUUCAUCAGCCAUUGCAGGUCGAAUUCAUUGCAGUUGCACGCCGUACAUGCAAAGCCAUUCCAUCAACCAUUAGAUGCAGAAUGGAUGGACGCGAUAGUUGGUGAUGUCCAGCUGGGUGCGUGUACAACAAUUGCUCUUGUUUUGAUCCAGCAGCCCGCAUUAGAAUAUGUAUAUCAGAUCAAUAGCACAAAGGCAUUGCGUUUGUCCCCUAUUACUAUUACAGUUACAGUGCACCUUUUAAUAAUUGAUAGUAAUUUUGUUUUUAGGCUUGAGAAAAAAGUUUGAUAAUAAUUAGGAGCCCAUGAACUUCUUCUUGUUGUCGAUGUUUGGCUUGGAGACGACGGAGCCGUCGUUGCCGGCGAGCGCCUUGUACUUGUCCUUCCUGGUGAAGCUGGUGCACUCGUAGGAGAGCGUGGAGGCGAUGAGCCUCUGGAUGUAGUUGGCCACCUCGUGGCUGGUCUUGCCGCCCUUGCAGGUGAGCUCGUGCGGCAGCUUGUUGAGGAAGGUGACCACGUAGCCCGGGCUCGGGUUCAUGAAGAAGUAGAAGGGGUCGAGCCCCUUCCACCCCCGCGCCGUGGUGCCGUGGAACAUGCUCAUCUGGUUCUCCAUGGCCACCGGCACGAUCUCGUCGGUGAGCUCCGCGAAGAGCGCGGAGAAGCGCAGCAGGAAGGGCUCCCGGCACGUGGUGCCCUCCGGGCAGAUCACCAGGUCCCCCUCCUUGAGCAGGCGCCGGAUCAUGGCCGCGUCCGCCGCCCGGUCGCGCGUCAGCCGCACCGUGCGGAUCGGCGACAGCAUCUCCGACAGCCGCGACACCUAUAAAACAUCCCGUUGCCUAUCUAUCAGCGCGUGACCUGUGAAGAGUACGCUAGCUCUGUGUCGUAGCUGCUGUGCUGUGCAGAGUUUGCAGUACGUACCGAGUAGGUGACGGCGGUGAUGGGGCGGCCGAGGGCGGUGGAGAGGAAGAUGGGGUCGAGGAGGGUGCGGUGGGAGCAGAUGAAGAGCACGCCGGUCUGGCCGGUCUCGAGGCUGGCCGGCGGCGGCGGGCUGCCCUUGACGGUGACGCGGACCCCCAGCGCGGUGAAGGCGUGGUACACCAUGCGCAUGGGCAGGAGGGAGCCGGCGGCGAUGCGGAGGCAGGAGAGCAGGAAGCCGAUGGGGAUCCAGAGCAAGGUGAGCAGCGCGAGCGCGGGCGACGGCUUCUGCACGAUGCGGCCGUCGUGGAAGAUGACGGGCUUGGGCAGGUCCUCCCUGGGCACGGGCUUGAGCCUGGGCGUCGGGGGCACCACGUACCCCUCCUUGCAGAGGCGCAUGAAGGGGUAGUCGGUCUUCCUGUCGCCGAGGCCGAGCUCCGGCGCGGCGUCGCCGAAGGCCCGGCGGAGCGCGGCGGCCUUGUUGUGGCCGACGAGGACGCCGGGGGAGCGGACGAGGCCGGUGGCCCGGCCGCGGCAGACGAGGAGCUCGGUGCCGAGCACGAGGUGGGCGCCGACGUAGUCCUUGAGGAAGGCCUCGACCAUGAUCCGGGGGUUGGCGGUGAGCACGCAGCGGCGGCCGCAGGCGGAGAAGACGCGCCACGACUCCGGGUGGAGGUCGGAGCAGUAGAACUUGGGCAGCACGGCGCGGGCGACGGCCUCGACGUCGUCCACCCUGGCGCCGGCCAUGGAGGCGAAGAUGAGCACCUGGAUCCCCGCGGACUCGGACACGAGGUAGUAGAGCAGGCCCGCGAGCGGCGCCAGCAGGAGCAGCGCCAGGAGGCGGAGCACGCCCCCGGUCUCGAAGGCCAUGUGCGCGAAGUAGGGGAAGGAGCUCCGGCCGCACAGCAGCGUGCCGUCCAGGUCGGCCACCACCGUGUCCCCGCCCCGGCCCGCCGACGCGCACUUGUCCACCGUCGGGAACGGCGACGCCGUCAUCGUCGUCGUGGUCGUGCCCGCCAUCGCCUCCACCCGAUCUCUCGCGGAACACAAGCUACAAUGUACGCUCGCGCGGACCGAACCGUGCCUUGCUGUGUCUUCUUCUAAGUGUAGAGCUCUGCACGCGAGUUUUGCACUUUUCCGUGGCCGCUUAUAUACAGGAUCGGAACCGGGGCGAGCACGAACACAAAAGACCAAAAACUCGUGCGUGCGUAUAGAAGAAAUCGCGGAGAGAAGAUUACAAGGAGGAGGAGCACAAGUACAUUCGGUACGUCGUCGUUAGGUGUUGUAAACUUGGCAAUGCUCCAAGAACCGGGCUCUUCGGAUGCGCCGAUGCGGCCUUGUUUUACAUGGCCCCGGGGCUUUGGCGGUGCCGCCAGUAAAGCGAAGCGGGCGAAAACAAUUCGGGGUAGUGAGUUCUCCUCGUUGUUCUCUUUUGAUUGAGAGUCGAUGGAGCUCUUGUUCUCUCGAGCGGACGAAGGCGACAGGUAGCUUAUUUUAGGAAUCGUAGGACACGGUACGAAAGCGCCAUUGAGAGCCCGGGCCACAGGUUGUUGGUGCAAAGCUUGCGAGGUUGGGCCUCCUGGUCGAUCCUACUCCUGCCUCGGUCGAUAUUCGAGGCGUAUUAUUGUGGAGAGAAGGGCGCGCCUCUUGGGCGCGGGAGGCGGGCAUUGAUGGGCACAUAAUUGUUCCGUUUUUAGGGAGUGGGCGCAGGAUUGUGGCGGUGCAGCUAGCGUAACCUCUUGUGCAUGGUCUUGUCGCGUUGACGCGUACCAAAUGGAGUCAGGCUCCUGCAGGCUGCGGCGCUUCAGAACGGAACAUGGCUUGGCUUGGCUCGGCACACGCGGCGCGGCUCUCGGGCACGGCCUGGCACACGCGGCGCUGCUCUUCUUUGCGCCGGUGUCAUGCUACUACCAGAAAUGCUUUGUUCUUCGGAAGGGAACCGGGAAACGCGUGUACCCAACAGUCAUGCACAGUUGAUUGAUGGGAGGGAGCAGGCACUUUUUGCGCUCUUCGGUUUCGGUGAGUGGUAAAUGUGAACUUUUUUCUCAUCGGCACCACGCGGCGGAGCUUCCACGCGUACGGGAAGCGAACUGGUUUGGCGUAAGAUGGUCUGUCCAUGGACAGUGUGUGCAGCAGACCACUGCGCAGACGUGGGAUGGCAAGGCGUUCAGUUUACUCCUCCCAGGUCUACGUCAACGGUCAGGCUACGGACUUCAAGUUCAUCGCUUACUUUUUUUAAGGUAAAUGUCGCCGCUUUUAUUUAACUUAAAACAAGACCGCGUCCAGAAUGCAAUCUGGGGGUGAUCCAAGCCAUACCUUAUAAAGUUCUUCACCUACACCUAUCUUAGCUAAUUUAUGCGCAGCAACAUUUGCAGAACGCCUCACCCAGUGAAACUCUAAAAUCGUCAAAAGACCGAAGCAUGGUCUUGAUCUCCUCCACCCAUGAGCCUGUCGCUGCCAAGAUCCUUUCCGGACCGUUGAUCAUCUGCACUAGAGCCUGGCUGUCCAGCCCCAGUUGAAUUAUCUAAACAUUGACCUCCACAGCCACCAAAAGGGCUCUCUUACAUGCCUUGAUCUCCGCAGCCUCUGCCUCCAUAACAUGAGGGAAGAAGUGGCACGCUCCUGCAAGAAAAGUACCAUUAUGAUCCCGAAGCACCACGCCUCCUUCGCUCUUGCCUCCAAACUUGGAUGUGGCACCGUCAGUGUUGGCCUUGAUCCAACCUUCCUCCGGCGCUAUCCAUCUCUGCCGAACAACAACUUUGGUCUCCUGAUCCGACUUCUCGUGAACCUCCCGCCAUUCUCUCAUGAAAGAGCAUACCCUCUCUAUUAUUUCAUGUGGUUCAUCAAUCCUCUUGCCAUUCUUUGUUUCGUUUCGUGCCAGCCAUAGGGCAUAAACCGCAUGGAUCAUCGCCUGCCGCUCAUCUUCAUGAGCUUCAGCAAACCACCCGAGCAGCCAAUUCGCUAGCUCGCUCUGGGAGCAUGUGAAACUCGGUGGGGCUGCCACCAUUACUCCCUUUUCUGAACGCAACUGGUUCCAAAACUAGACCGAAUGUUGGCAAAUCCAAAAUCUAUGCAUGAUAGUCUCCUCACGCUCACACACCGCACAUAAUACUCCUGGUUUGAUCCUUCGUCGCAGCAGCUCCGCGCCUACCGCCAAUCCGUUCCUAAUAACUCUCCACAUGUGAAUCUUAGCCUUGUUUGGUGCGCUAGUAUCCCAGAGGCCCAAAUACCCUUGAUGUUUGUUAACUGAAUUAGCUGAUUCCGGCCGUCCGGUUUUCAGCUUAUUCAUGGUCAUUCUCAGGUGAUAAGCGGAGCGCACCGUGAACAUACCGUACUUUGUGUAGUUCCAAGCUAAGCAGUCCUCCAUCACCGCCCCCAGUAGCUAUCUAUUUAAUGUCUAGCGCAUCAUCCGGCGAGAACAUUUCAUCAAUUCUAGUGUUGUUCCAAGCAUCUCCGGUUGCUACCAUCAGAUCCGCCACCUUAGUUAUGUUGGGGAACGCAGUAAUUUCAAAAAAAUUCCUACGCACACGCAAGAUCAUGGUGAUGCAUAGCAACGAGAGGGGAGAGUGUUGUCUACAUACCCACGCAGACCGACUGCGGAAGUGUUGACGCAACAUAGAGGAAGUAGUCGUACCUCUUCCCGAUCCGACCGAUCCAAGCACCGUUACUCCGGCACCUCCGAGUUCUUAGCACACGUACAACUCGAUGACGAUCCCCGGGCUCCGAUCCAGCAAAGCGUCAGGGAGGAGUUCCGUCAGCACGACGCCGUGGUGACGAUCUUGAUAUUCUACCGUCGCAGGGCUUCGCCUAAGCACCGCUACAAUAUAAUCGAGGUGGAAUAUGGUGGCAGGGGGCACCGCACACGGCUAAGGAACGAUCUCAAGGAUCAACUUGUGUGUUAGGGUGCCCCCCUGCCUCCGUAUAUAAAGGAGCCAAGGGGGAGGGGGCAGCCGGCCAAGGAGGGCGCGCCAAGGGAGUCCUACUCCCUCUGGGAGUAGGAUUCCCCCCCCCCAAUCCUAGUUGGAAUAGGAUUCCUCGAGGGGGGAAAGAGAGAGAGGGGGCCGGCCACCUCUCCUUGUCCUAAUAGGACUAGGGGAGGGGGGAGGCGCGCGGCCCACCUUGGGCUGCCCCUUUCUCCUUUCCACUAAAGCCCACUAAGGCCCAUAUAGCUCCCGGGGGGUUCCGGUAACCUCCCGGUACUCCGGUAAAAUCCCGAUUUCACCCGGAACACUUCCGAUAUCCAAACAUAGGCUUCCAAUAUAUCAAUCUUUAUGUCUCGACCAUUUCGAGACUCCUCGUCAUGUCCAUGAUCACAUCCGGGACUCCGAACAAUCUUCGGUACAUCAAAAUGCAUAAACUCAUAAUAACUGUCAUCGUAACGUUAAGCGUGCGGACCCUACGGUUCGAGAACAAUGUAGACAUGACCGAGACACGUCUCCGGUCAAUAACCAAUAGCGGGACCUGGAUGCCCAUAUUGGCUCCUACAUAUUCUACGAAGAUCUUUAUCGGUCAGACCGCAUAACAAUAUACGUUGUUCCCUUUGUCAUCGGUAUGUUACUUGCCCGAGAUCCGAUCAUCGGUAUCCAAUACCUAGUUCAAUCUCGUUACCGGCAAGUCUCUUUACUCGUUCCGUAAUACAUCAUCCCGCAACUAACUCAUUAGUUGCAAUGCUUGCAAGGCUUAUGUGAUGUGCAUUACCGAGAGGGCCCAGAGAUAUCUCUCCGACAAUCAGAGUGACAAAUCCUAUUCUCGAAAUACGCCAACCCAACAUCUACCAUUGGAGACACCUGUAGAGCUCCUUUAUAAUCACCCAGUAACGUUGUGACGUUUGGUAGCACACAAAGUGUUCCUCCGGCAAACGGGAGUUGCAUAAUCUCAUAGUCAUAGGAACAUGUAUAAGUCAUGAAGAAAGCAAUAGCAACAUACUAAACGAUCGGGUGCUAAGCUAAUGGAAUGGGUCAUGUCAAUCAGAUCAUUCAACUAAUGAUGUGACCUCGUUAAUCAAAUAACAACACUUUGUUCAUGGUUAGGAAACAUAACCAUCUUUGAUUAACGAGCUAGUCAAGUAGAGGCAUACUAGUGACACUCUGUUUGUCUAUGUAUUCACACAUGUAUUAUGUUUCCGGUUAAUACAAUUCUAGCAUGAAUAAUAAACAUUUAUCAUGAUAUAAGGAAAUAAAUAAUAACUUUAUUAUUGCCUCUAGGGCAUAUUUCCUUCAGUCUCCCACUUGCACUAGAGUCAAUAAUCUAGAUUACACAGAAAUGAUUCUAACACCCAUGGAGCCUUGGUGCUGAUCAUGUUUUUCUCGUGGAAGAGGCUUAGUCAACGGAUCUGCAACAUUCAGAUCCGUAUGUAUCUUGCAAAUCUCUAUGUCUCCCACCUGGACUAGAUCCCGGAUGGAAUUGAAGCGUCUCUUGAUGUGCUUGGUUCUCUUGUGAAAUCUGGAUUCCUUUGCCAAGGCAAUUGCACCAGUAUUGUCACAAAAGAUUUUCAUUGGACCCGAUGCACUAGGUAUGACACCUAGAUCGGAUAUGAACUCCUUCAUCCAGACUGCUUCGUUCGCUGCUUCCGAAGCGCUUCACAUGUAGAUCCCGCUACGACGCUUUGUUUAGAACUGCACCAACUGACAGCUCCACCAUUUAAUGUAAACACGUAUCCGGUUUGCGAUUUAGAAUCGUCCGGAUCAGUGUCAAAGCUUGCAUCAACGUAACCUCUUACGAUGAGCUCUUUGUCACCUCCAUAUACGAGAAACAUAUCCUUAGCCCUUUUCAGGUAUUUCAGGAUGUUCUUGACCGCUGUCCAGUGAUCCACUCCUGGAUUACUUUGGUACCUCCCUGCUAAGCUUAUAACAAGGCACACAUCAGGUCUGAUACACAGCAUUGCAUACAUGAUAGAGCCUAUUGCUGAAGCAUAGGGAACAUCUUUCAUUUUCUCUCUAUCUUUUGCAGUGGUCGGGCAUUGAGUCUGACUCAACUUCACACCUUGUAACACAGGCAAGAACCCUUUCUUUGCUUGAUCCAUUUUGAACUUCUUCAAAAUCUUGUCAAGGUAUGUGCUUUGUGAAAGUCCAAUUAAGCGCCUUGAUCUAUCUCUAUAGAUCUUUAUGCCUAAUAUGUAAGCAGCUUCACCGAGGUCUUUCAUUGAAAAACUCUUAUUCAAGUAUCCCUUUAUGCUAUCCAGAAAUUCUAUAUCAUUUGCAAUCAGUAACAUGUCAUCCACAUAUAAUAUCAGAAAUGCUACAGAGCUCCCACUCACUUUCUUGUAAAAUACAGGCUUCUCCGAAAGUCUGUAUAAAACCAAAUGCUUUAAUCACACUAUCAAAGCGUUUAUUCCAACUCCGAGAGGCUUGCACCAGUCCAUAAAUGGAUCGCUAGAGCUUGCAUACUUUGUUAGCUCCCUUUGGAUCGACAAAACCUUCCGGUUGCAUCAUAUACAACUCUUCUUCCAGAAAUCCAUUCAGGAAUGCAGUUUUGACAUCCAUCUGCCAAAUUUCAUAAUCAUAAAAUGCGGCAAUCGCUAACAUGAUUCGGACAGACUUAAGCAUCGCUACGGGUGAGAAAGUCUCAUCGUAGUCAACCCCUUGAACUUGUCGAAAACCUUUUGCGACAAGUCGAGCUUUGUAGACAGUAACAUUACCAUCAGCGUCAGUCUUCUUCUUGAAGAUCCAUUUAUUCUCAAUUGCUUGCCGAUCAUCGGGCAAGUUAACCAAAGUCCAUACUUUGUUCUCAUACAUGGAUCCCAUCUCAGAUUUCAUGGCUUCAAGCCAUUUUGCGGAAUCUGGGCUCACCAUCGCUUCUUCAUAGUUCGUAGGUUCAUCAUGAUCUAGCAGCAUGAUUUCCAGAACAGGAUUGCUGUACCACUCUGGUGCGGAUCUCGCUCUGGUUGAUCUACGAGGUUCAGUAGUAUCUUGUCCUGAAGUUUCAUGAUCAUCAUCAUUAGCUUCCUCACUAAUUGGUAUAGGUGUCGCAGAAACAGUUUUCUGUGAUGUACUACUUUCCAAUAAGGGAGCAGGUACAGUUACCUCGUCAAGUUCUACUUUCCUCCCACUCACUUCUUUCGAGAGAAACUCCUUCUCUAGAAAGGAUCCAUUCUUAGCAAUGAAUGUCUUGCCUUCGGAUCUGUGAUGGAAGGUGUACCCAAAAGUCUCCUUUGGGUAUCCUAUGAAGACACAUUUCUCCGAUUUGGACUAGAGCUUAUCAGGUUGAAGCUUUUUCACAUAAGCAUCGCAGCCCCAAACUUUGAGAAAUGACAACUUUGGUUUCUUGCCAAACCAUAGUUCAUAAGGCGUCGUCUCAACGGAUUUUGAUGGUGCCCUAUUUAACGUGAAUGCGACCGUCUCUAAAGCAUAAUCCCAAAACGAUAGCGGUAAAUUAGUAAGAGACAUCAUAGAUCGCACCAUAUCUAGUAAAGUACGAUUACGACGUUCGGACACACCAUUACGCUGUGGUGUUCUGGGUGGCGUGAGUUGCGAAACUAUUCCGCAUUGUUUCAAAUGUACACCAAACUCGUAACUCAAAUAUUCUCCUCCACGAUCAGAUAGAAACUUUAUUUUCUUGUUACGAUGAUUUUCAACUUCACUCUGAAAUUCUUUGAACUUUUUCAAAUGUUUCAGACUUGUGUUUCAUUAAGUAGAUAUACCCAUAUCUGCUUAAGUCAUCUGUGAAGGUGAGAAAAUAACGAUAUCCGCCACGAGCCUCAAUAUUCAUCGGACCACAUACAUCGGUAUGUAUGAUUUCCAAUAAACCUGUUGCUCUCUCCAUAGUACCGGAGAACGGCGUUUUAGUCAUCUUGCCCAUGAGGCACGGUUCGCAAGUACUAAGUGAUUCAUAAUCAAGUGGUUCCAAAAGUCCAUCAGUAUGGAGUUUCUUCAUGCGCUUUAUACCGAUAUGACCUAAACGGCAAUGCCACAAAUAAGUUGCACUAUCAUUAUCAACUCUGCAUCUUUUGGCUUCAACAUUAUGAAUAUGUGUGUUACUACUAUCGAGAUUCAUCAAAAAUAGACCACUCUUCAAAGGUGCAUGACCAUAAAAGAUAUUACUCAUAUAAAUAGAACAACCAUUAUUCUCUGAUUUAAAUGAAUAACCGUCUCGCAUCAAACAAGAUCCAGAUAUAAUGUUCAUGCUCAACGCUGGCACCAAAUAACAAUUAUUUAGGUCUAAUAUUAAUCCCGAAGGUAGAUGUAGAGGUAGCGUGCCAACCGCGAUCACAUCGACUUUGGAACCGUUUCCCACGCGCAUCGUCACCUCGUCCUUUGCCAGUGUUCGCUUAAUCCGUAGUCCCUGUUUCGAGUUGCAAAUAUUAGCAACUGAACCAGUAUCAAGUACCCAGGUGCUACUACGAGCUCUAGUAAGGUACACAUCAAUAACAUGUAUAUCACAUAUACCUUUGUUCACCUUGCCAUCCUUCUUAUCCGCCAAAUACUUGGGGCAGUUCCGCUUCCAGUGACCAGUCUGCUUGCAGUAGAAGCACUCAGUUUCAGGCUUAGGUCCAGACUUGGGUUUCUUCUCCUGAGUAGUAACUUGCUUGCCGUUCUUCUUGAAGUUCCCCUUCUUCUUCCCUUUGCCCUUUUUCUUGAAACUAGUGGUCUUGUUAACCAUCAACACUUGAUGCUCCUUCUUGAUUUCUACCUCCGCAGCUUACAACAUUGCGAAGAGCUCGGGAAUAGUCUUGUUCAUCCCUUGCAUAUUAUAGUUCAUCACGAAGCUCUUGUAGCUCGGUGGCAGUGAUUGGAGAAUUCUGUCAAUGACACAAUCAUCUGGAAGAUUAACUCCCAUCUGAAUCAAGUGAUUAUUAUACCCAGACAUUUUGAGUAUAUGCUCACUGACAUAAUUGUUCUCCUCCAUCUUGCAGCUAUAGAACUUAUUGGAGACUUCAUAUCUCUCAAUCCGGGCAUUUGCUUGAAAUAUUAACUUCAACUCCUGGAACAUCUCAUAUGCUCCAUGAUGUUCAAAACGUCGUUGAAGUCCCGAUUCUAAGCCGUAAAGCAUGGCACACUGAACUAUCGAGUAGUCAUCAGCUUUGCUCUGCCAGACGUUCAUAACAUCUGGUGUUGCUCCAGCAGCAGGCCUGGCACCCAGCGGUGCUUCCAGGACGUAAUUCUUCUGAGCAGCAAUGAGGAUAAUCCUCAAGUUACGGACCCAGUCCGUGUAAUUGCUACCAUCAUCUUUCAACUUCGCUUUCUCAAGGAACGCAUUAAAAUUCAACGGAACAACAGCACGAGCCAUCUAUCUACAAUCAACAUAAACAAGCAAGAUACUAUCAAGUACUAAGUUCAUGAUAAGUUUAAGUUCAAUUAAUCAAAUUACUUAAGAACUCCCACUUAGAUAGACGUCCCUCUAAUCCUCUAAGUGAUCACGUGAUCCAAAUCAACUAAACCAUAACUGAUCAUCACGUGAGAUGGAGUAGUUUUUCAAUGGUGAACAUCGUUAUGUUGAUCAUAUCUACUAUAUGAUUCACGCUCGACCUUUCGGUCUCCGUGUUCCGAGGCCAUAUCUGCAUAUGCUAGGCUCAUCAAGUUUAACCUGAGUAUUCUGCGUGUGCAAAAACUGGCUUGCACCCGUUGUAGAUGGACGUAGAGCUUAUCACACCCGAUCAUCACGUGGUGUCUGGGCACGACAAACUUUGGCAACGGUGCAUACUCAGGGAGAACACUUCUUGAUAAUCUAGUGAGAGAUCAUCUUAUAAUGCUACCGUCAAUCAAAGCAAGAUAAGAUGCAUAAAAGGAUAAACAUCACAUGCAAUCAAUAUAAGUGAUAUGAUAUGGCCAUCAUCAUCUUGUGCUUGUGAUCUCCAUCUCCGAAGCACCGUCGUGGUCACCAUUGUCACCGGUGCGACACCUUGAUCUCCAUCGUAGCAUCGUUGUCGUCUCGCCAAUCUUAUGCUUCCACGACUAUCGCUACCGCUUAGUGAUAAAGUAAAGCAUUACAUCGCCGAUUGCAUUGCAUACAAUAAAGCGACAACCAUAUGGCUCCUGCCAGUUGCCGAUAACUCGGUUACAAAACAUGAUCAUCUCAUACAAUAAAAUUCAUCAUUAUGCCUUGACCAUAUCACAUCACAACAUGCCCUGCAAAAACAAGUUAGACGUCCUCUACUUUGUUGUUGCAAGUUUUACGUGGCUGCUACGGGCUUAAGCAAGAACCAAUCUCACCUACGCAUCAAAACCACAACGAUAGUUUGUCAAAUACACUAUGUUUUAACCUUCGCAAGGACCGGGCGUAGCCAUACUCGGUUCAACUAAAGUUGGAGAGACAGUCGCCCGCAAGCCACCUAUGUGCAAAGCACGUCGGGGGAACCGGUCUCCCGUAAGCGUACGCGUAAUGUUGGUCCGGGUCGUCUCGUCCAACAAUACCGCUGAACCAAAGUAUGACAUGCUGGUAGGCAGUAUGACUUAUAUCGCCCACAACUCACUUGUGUUCUACUCGUGCAUAUAACAUCAAAACAUAAAACCUAGUCUCUGAUACCACUGUUGGGGAACGCAGUAAUUUCAAAAAAUUUCCUACGCACAUGCAAGAUCAUGGUGAUGCAUAGCAACGAGAGGGGAGAGUGUUGUCUACGUACCCACGCAGACCGACUGCGGAAGCGUUGACGCAACGUAGAGGAAGUAGUCGUACGUCUUCCCGAUCCGACCAAUCCAAGCACCGCUCCGGCACCUUCGAGUUCUUAGCACACGUACAGCUCGAUGACGAUCCCCGGGCUCCGAUCCAGCAAAGCGUCGGGGAGGAGUUCCGUCAGCACGACGGCGUGGUGACGAUCUUGAUGUUCUACCGUCGCAGGGCUUCACCUAAGCACCGCUACAAUAUAAUCGAGGUGGAAUAUGGUGGCAGGGGACACCGCACACGGCUAAGGAACGAUCUCAAGGAUCAACUUGUGUGUUAGGGUGCCCCUUGCCUCUGUAUAUAAAGGAGCCAAGGGGGAGGGGGCAGCCGGCCAAGGAGGGCGCGCCAAGGGAGUCCUACUCCCUCUGGGAGUAGGAUCCCCCCCCCCAAUCCUAGUUGGAAUAGGAUUCCUCGAGGGGGGAAAGAGAGAGAGGGGGCCGGCCACCUCUCCUUGUCCUAAUAGGACUAGGGGAGGGGGAGGCGUGCGGCCCACCUUGGGCUGCCCCUUUCUCCUUUCCACUAAAGCCCACUAAGGCCCAUAUAGCUCCCGGGGGGUUCCGGUAACCUCCCGGUACUCCGGUAAAAUCCCGAUUUCACCCGGAAUACUUCCGAUAUCCAAACAUAGGCUUCCAAUAUAUCAAUAUUUAUGUCUCGACCAUUUUGAGACUCCUCGUCAUGUCCAUGAUCACAUCCGGGACUCCGAACAAUCUUCGGUACAUCAAAAUGCAUAAACUCAUAAUAACUGUCAUCGUAACGUUAAGCGUGCGGACCCUACGGUUCGAGAACAAUGUAGACAUGACCGAGACACGUCCCCGGUCAAUAAACAAUAGCGGGACCUGGAUGCCCAUAUUGUAUCCUACAUAUUCUACGAAGAUCUUUAUCGGUCAGACCGCAUAACAAUAUACGUUGUUCCCUUUGUCAUCGGUAUGUUACUUGCCCGAGAUUCGAUCGUCGGUAUCCAAUACCUAGUUCAAUCUCGUUACCGGCAAGUCUCUUUACUCGUUCCGUUAUACAUCAUCCCGCAACUAACUCAUUAGUUGCAAUGCUUGCAAGGCUUAUGUGAUGUGCAUUACCGAGAGGGCCCAGAGAUACCUCUCCGACAAUCAGAGUGACAAAUCCUAUUCUCGAAAUACGCCAACCCAACAUCUACCAUUGGAGACACCUGUAGAGCUCCUUUAUAAUCACCCAGUAACGUUGUGACGUUUGGUAGCACACAAAGUGUUCCUCCGGCAAAUGGGAGUUGCAUAAUCUCAUAGUCAUAGGAACAUGUAUAAGUCAUGAAGAAAGCAAUAGCAACAUACUAAACGAUCGGGUGCUAAGCUAAUGGAAUGGGUCAUGUCAAUCAGAUCAUUCAACUAAUGAUGUGACCUCGUUAAUCAAAUAACAACACUUUGUUCAUGGUUAGGAAACAUAACCAUCUUUGAUUAAUGAGCUAGUCAAGUAGAGGCAUACUAGUGACACUCUGUUUGUCUAUGUAUUCACACAUGUAUUAUGUUUCCGGUUAAUACAAUUCUAGCAUGAAUAAUAAACAUUUAUCAUGAUAUAAGGAAAUAAAUAAUAACUUUAUUAUUGCCUCCAGGGCAUAUUUCCUUCAAGUUACUCCCUGCAAGAAAAUAGCCCUGAGUGGCCUCAUACUGCCGCUUCUCGGGAUCCAGUUAUCAUGGUGUAUGUUGAUACUUGUUCCGUCACCGACCCUCCAGACAAGUCCUUCUCUCGAAAGAUCACACCCAUGGAGGAUGCUCCGAAAAGUGAAAGAACCCCCCGAGGGACAAGUGGCCGACAUAAUCGUGGUAUCCGGAAAGUACCUAGCCUUAAGAACCCAACACAUAAAGAUGUUGGGUAUUGUAAGAUCCUCCAUGCCUGUUUGGCCAAUAGAGAUUGGUUGAAAGCUUCCGGGUCGCGAAAGCCAAGACCUCCAUCCCGCUUGGCCUCACACAUCUUCUCCCAAGAGAUCCAAUGCACCUUCUUAUCACCAUUUGUUGCCCCCACCAGAAUUUUGACGAGAUAGAAGUCAGGUUCCGGCACAUUUUUUUUGUGAGGUGGAAACAACUCAUAGUAUAAGUUGGUGUAGCUUGGAGUACAUAUUUAACUAAUACCUCCCGCGCGGCCUUUGAUAGCCCCUGGCCCUUCAAUCCGUUAACCUUGCCCUUUGAGCACUUCGUGACAUAUCUGAAAGUACCAUCCUUUGAUCUCCCAACCAGUGUGGGGAGACCCAAGUAACACUCAGCAAGUGCCUCAUUAUGAACACCUAGUAUGUUUUGUAAUUGGCUUUUCAUGCCAUCCUGAGUGCCCUUACCAAAGAAGAUAGAGGAUUUUUGUAAGUUAAUACACUGACCCGAAGCCUGUUCGUACUGCCUCAGGAUUUCCUUUAACUCCAUCAUAUUAUCCGUUGAUCCCUCAAGGAACACAAUACUGUCGUCGGCAAACAAUAAGUGAGUAACAUUGGGGCCAGUGCUCCCAAAUGACACCCCUUUGAUACUAUUCUCCUCUUGUGCUCUUUUUAGGAGCACUGAGAACCCCUCCACACAGAGCAAGAACAAGUAGGGUGAUAACGGGUCCCCUUGUCUCAGUCCACGAGAGGGGACAAAACCCCUAGAUAAGCCGCUGUUAAGCCUCACUGAGAACCUCGCCGACGUCACACAUCGCAUGAUCAUAGCAAUCCAUUGAGUAUCAAAACAUACUCGAUUCAAAACCUGCUCUAAAAAUAUCCACUCAACUCUAUCAUAUCCCUUCAUCAUGUCCAGCUUGACCGCACAGAGUGAUUUCUUCCUCUUCCUAUUCCGAAUGGCAUGCACACACUCAUAUGCCAUUACAUUAUCUGUGAUCAACCUCCCUGGAACAAAUGCACUUUGUUGUUAUGAUAUCAACAGAGGGAGUGAGCCCUUUAACAUGUUUUCCAAAACCUUUGUGGCUAUCUUAUAGAGCAUGUUACAUAAGCUGAUCUGUCUGAACUGUGAAAGCAACUUCGGUCAGUUGAUUUUUGGAAUCAUAACAAUAACCGUAUCAUUAAAACACUCACCGUCAACACUCCAUUCAGAAAAUCUUUCACCGCCCUGCACACAUCCUCCCUAACCAAGGACCAGUGUCUUUGGUAGAAGAGGGCUGGGAGCCCAUCAGGCCCGGGUGCCUUUGUAGGUCCCAUCUAAAAUAAGGCCCACUCGAUCUCCUCAUCAGAAAAGGCUGCCAUCAACCUUUGAUUCAUUUCCGACAUUACUAGUGGUGCAAUGUUUUGUAGCAACACGUUGGCACCAGCCGAUCCAUCGGACGUAAAUGAUAAAAACAGAAUUUUUGAUGUGGAAUGCUAUCUAACAUAUUUAUCCAUAUAAUUCUCUUUAUUGUGGCAUGAAUAUUCAGAUCCAUAAGAUUCAAGACAAAAGUUUAAUAUUCACAUAAAAAUAAUAAUACUUCAAGCAUACUAACAAAGUAACCAUGUCUUCUCAAAAUAACAUGGCCAAAGAAAGCUAUCCCUACAAAAUCAUAUAGUCUGGCUAUGCUCUAUCUUCAUCACGCAAAAAAUUUAAAUCAUGCACAACCCCGAUGACAAGCCAAGCAAUUGUUUCAUACUUUUGAUGUUCUAAAACUUUUUUAAUCUUCACGCAAUACAUGAGCGUGAGCCAUGGACAUAACACUAUAGGUGGAAUAGAAUGGUGGUUGUGGAGAAGAUAAAAAGGAGAAGACAAUCUCACAUCAACUAGGCAUAUCAACGGGCUAUGGAUAUGCCCAUCAAUAGAUAUCAAUGUGAGUGAGUAGGGAUUGCCAUGCAACGGAUGCUAAAGCUAUAAGUGUAUGAAAGCUCAAAAAGAAACCAAGUGGGUGUGCAUCCAACUCGCUUGCUCACGAAGAUCUAGGGCAUUUUGAGGAAGUCCAUCAUUGGAAUAUACAAGCCAAGUUCUAUAAUGAAAGAUUCCCACUAGUAUAUGAAAGUGACAACAUAGGAGACCUCUAUCAUGAAGAUCAUGGUGCUACUUUGAAGCAUAAGUGUGGUAAAAGGAUAGUAGCAUUGCCCCUUCUCUCUUUUUUCUCUCAUUUUUUGUUUUUUUGGGCCUUCUCUUUUCUUAUGGCCUCUUUUUUUCUCUUUUUUUAUUUUUUUCCGUCUAGAGUCUCAUCCAGACUUGUGGGGGAAUCAUAGUCUCCAUCAUCCUUUCCUCACAUGAGACAAUGCUCUAAUAAUGAUGACCAUGACACUUUUAUUUACUUACAACUCAAGAAUUACAUCUCAAUACUUAGAACAAAAUAUGACUCUAUGUGAAUGCCUCCGCGGCGUACCGGGAUGUGCAAUGAAUCAAGAGUGACAUGUAUGAAAGAAUUAUGAAUGGUGGCUUUGCCACAAAUACGAUGUCAACUACAUGAUCAUGCAAAGCAAUAUGACAAUGAUGGAGCGUGUCAUAAAAAACAAAAUGGUGGAAAGUUGCAUGGCAAUAUAUCUCGGAAUGGCUAUGGAAAUACCAUAAUAGGUAGGAAUGGUGGCUGUUUUGAGGAAGGUAAAUGGUGGGUUUAUGGUACCGAUGAAAGUUGCGUGGUACUAGAGAGGCUAGCAAUGGUGGAAGGGUGAGAGUGCGUAUAAUCCAUGGACUCAACAUUAGUCAUAAAGAACUCACAUACUUAUUGCAAAAAUCUAUUAGUAAUCGAAAUAAAGUACUACGUGCAUGAUCCUAGGGGGAUAGAUUGGUAGGAAAAGACCAUCGCUCUUCCCCGACCGCCACUCAUAAGGAAGACAAUCAAUAAAUAAAUCAUGCUCCGACUUCAUCACAUAACGGUUCACCAUACGUGCAUGCUACGGGAAUCACAAACUUUAACACAAGUAUUUCUCAAAUUCACAACUACUCACUAGCAUGACUCUAAUAUCACUAUUUUCAUAUCUCAAAACAAUCAUCAAGUAUCAAACUUCUCAUAGUAUUCAAUGCACUUUAUAUGAAAGUUUUUAUUAUAUCCCUCUUGGAUGCCUAUCAUAUUGGGACUAAAUUUAUAACCAAAGAAAAUUACCAUGCUAUUUUAAAGACUCUCACAAUAAUGUAAGUGAAGCACAAGAGUUCAUCUAUUUCUCCAAAAUAAAACUACCGCCGUUCUCUAAAAGAUAUAAGUGAAGUACUAGAGCAAACGACAAACUACUCCGAAAGAUAUAAGUGAAGAUCAAUGAGUAGUUGAAUAAUUAUGCAACUAUGUGAAGACUCUCUAACAUUUAAUAAUUUCAGAUCUUGGGAUAUUAUUCAAACAGCAAGCAAGCAAAACAAAAUAAAAUGACGCUCCAAGCAAAACACAUAUCAUGUGGUGAAUAAAAAUAUAGCUCCAAGUAAAGUUACCGAUGAACGAAGACGAAAGAGGGGAUGCCUUCCGGGGCAUCCCAAGCUUAGGCUCUUGGUUGUCCUUGAAUAUUACCUUGGGGUUCCUUGGGCAUCCCCAAGCUUAGGCUCUUGCUACUCCUUGUUCCAUAGUGCAUCGAAUCUUUACCCAAAACUUGAAAACUUCACAACACAAAACUCAACAGAAAAUCUCAUGAGCUCCGUUAGUAUAAGAAAAUAAAUAACCACUUUUGGUACUAUUGUGAACUCAUUCUAAAUUCAUAUUAGUGUAAUAUUUACUAUAUUCCAACUUCUCUAUGGUUCAUAGAUUCAUCAAAAUAAGCAAACAACACAUAGAAAACAGAAUCUGUCAAAAACAGAACAGUUUGUAGUAAUUUGUAGGUUUCGAAUACUUCUGUAACUCCAAAAAUCCUGAGAAAUUAGGAAGUCCUGGGAAAUUUGUUUAUUAAUCUAUGGCAAGUGGAAUUGGUAUUUUAUCGCUCUCUGGUAAAAAACGAAAAUUAUUCUCAUGAGCGCAUACUUUCUGUUUUUUACAGCAAGAUCAAAUAACAAUCACCCAAGAAGAUCCUAAAGGCUUUACUUGGCACAAACACUAAUUAAAACAAAAAACACAAUCAUAACAUAGGAUAGAUGAUUUAUCUAUUACUAAACAAGAACAAAAAGCAAGGAACAAAAAUAAAAUUGGGUUGCCUCCCAACAAGCGCUAUCGUUUAACGCCCCUAGCUAGGCAUGAUGAUUUCAAUGAUGCUCACAUAAAGGAUAAGAAUUGAAACAUAAAGAGAGCAUCAUGAAGAAUAUGACUAGCACAUUUAAGUCUAACCCGCUUCCUAUGCAUAGGGAUUUUGUGAGCAAAUUUAUGGGAACAAUAAUCAACUAGCAUAGGGAGGCAAAACAAGCAUAACUUUAAAACUUUAAGCACAUAGAGAGGAAACUUGAUAUUAUUGCAAUUCCUAUAAGCAUAUAUUCCUCACUCCUAAUAAAUUUCAGUAGCAUCAUGAAUGAAUUCAAAAAUAUAACCAUCACAUAAAGCAUUCUUUUCAUGGUCUACAAGCAUAGAAAUUUACUAUUCUCCACAUAAGCAAAAUUCUUCUCAUUCGAAAUAGUGGGAGUAUCAUAAGAAACCCGAAUACUAUUAAUGGUUUCCACAUUAAAAGAGUAAUGUUCAGAAAAAGGGUAAUCAUAAUCUUGACAAGUUUUAUAAAUAUAAUCAUCACUACUUUAGCAUAAGUGUCAUCACAAUAAUCAUCAUAAGUAGCAACUUUGUUCUCACCAUAAUCAAUUGAAACUGAUACGUCUCCAACGUAUCUACUUUUCCAAACACUUUUGCCCUUGUUUUUGACUCUAACUUGCAUGAUUUGAAUGGAACUAACCCGGACUGACGCUGUUUUCAGCAGAAUUGCCGUGGUAUUAUUUUUGUGCAGAAAUAAAAGUUCUCGGAAUGACCUGAAAAUCAACACAGAAUAUUUUUGGAAUAUAUAAAAAAUAUUGGCGAAAGAAUCAAGGCCAGGGGGCCCACACCCUGUCCACGAGGGUGGGGGGCAUGCCCCCCCUUGGGUGCGCCCCCUGCCUCGUGGGCCCCCUGGUGCUCCACCGACCUCAACUCCAACUCCAUAUAUUCAUGUUCGGGGAGAAAAAAAUAAGAGAGAAGGAUUCAUCGCGUUUUACAAUACGGAGCCGCCGCCAAGCCCUAAUCUCUCUCGGGAGGGCUGAUCUGGAAUCCGUUCGGGGCCCCGGAGAGGGGAAUCCGUCGCCAUCAUCAUCAUCAACCUUCCUUCAUCACCAAUUUCAAGAUGCUCACCGUCGUGCGUGAGUAAUUCCAUUGUAGGCUUGCUGGACGGUGAUGGAUUGUAUGAGAUUUAUCAUGUAAUCGAGUUAGUUUUGUUAGAGUUUGAUCCCUAGUAUCCAUUAUGUUCUAAGAUUGAUGUUGCUAUGACUUUGCUAUGCUUAAUGCUUGUCACUAGGGCCCGAGUGCCAUGAUUUCAGAUCUGAACCUAUUAUGUUUUCAUGAAUAUAUGUGAGUUCUUGAUCCAAUCUUGCAAGUCUAUAGUCACCUAUUAUGUGUUAUGAUCUGUUAACCCCAAAGUGACAAUAAUCAAGAUACUUACCAGUGAUGACCGUAGUUUGAGGAGUUCAUGUAUUCACUAAGUGCUAAUGCUCUGGUCCGGUACUCUAUUAAAAGGAGGCCAUAAUAUCCCUUAGUUUCCAAUAGGACCCCGCUGCCACGGGAGGGUAGGACAAAAGAUGUCAUGCAAGGUUUUUCCAUAAGCACGUAUGACUAUAUUCGGAAUACAUGCCUACAUUACAUUGAUGAACUAGAGCUAGUUCCGUGUCACCCUAUGUUAUAACUAUUGCAUGAGGAAUCCCAUCCGACAUAAUCAUCCAUCACUGAUCCAUUGCCUACGAGCUUUUCAUAUAUUGAUCUUUGCUUAUUUACUUUUCCGUUGCUACUGUGACAAUCACUAUAAAACCAAAACUGCUACUGUUACUUUUGCCAUCGUUACCACUACUAUCAUAUUACUUUGCUACUAAAUACUUUGCUGCAAAUAUUAAGUUUCCAGGUGUGGUUGAAUUGACAACUCAGCUGCUAAUACUUGAGAAUAUUCUUUGGCUCCCCUUGUGUCGAAUCAAUAAAUUUGGAUUGAAUACUCUACCCUCGAAAACUAUUGCGAUCCCCUAUACUUGUGGGUUAUCAAGACUAUUUUCUGGCGCCGUUGCCGGGGAGCAUAGCUCUAUUCUUUGAGUAACUUGGGAUUUAUAUCUGUUGAUCACUAUGAAGAACUUGAAAGAUAAAAGAACCAAGAUUUUCCCUCAACUACGAGGGGAGGUAAGGAACUGCCAGCCCUGCACUUGAUUCACCUUCUGUUUUGAGUAAACUUGCGACACCUACUCCUGCUAUUCAUUCUGAUAUGUCGCAUGUUAUAGAUGAUGCCACUUCUGCUUUGCAUGAUACUUAUGAUGAAACUACUUCUAUGCUUGAUAAUACUGUGCCACUAGGUGAAUUUCUUGAUGAACAACUUGCUAGGGUUAGAGAGAAUGAAAUUAUUGAAACUGAUAACAUUGAUGAAAGUGAUGAUGAAGAUUCUCCCCCUAUAUAUGAAUUGCCUGUUGUGCCCGAGGGUUAUGUUAUGGAUGAAGAAACUGCUAGAGACUUCUUAGCUUGCAAUGAUAGAUCUGAUCUUAAGAAAUUAUUAGCUAAGCUUAAAGAAAAGUCUUUGAAUGCUAGAAUGAAAUAUGACCCUGCUUUUGCUACUUCACCUAUCUUUAUUUUCGAUAAGGAUUGUGAUUUCUCUGUCGAUCCUGAGUUAAUUACUUUGGUUGAAUCUGAUCCUUUCUAUGGUUAUGAAUCUGAAACAGUUGUGGCACAUCUUACUAAAUUAAAUGAUAUAGCCACCCUGUGCACUAAUGAUGAGAAAACUCACUAUUAUUAUAUCCUUAAGUUAUUUCCGUUCUCAUUAAAGGGUGAUGCUAAAACAUGGUUUAAUUCUCUUGAUCCUGGUUGUGUGCGUAGUCCCCAGGAUAUGAUUUAUUACUUCUCUGCUAAAUAUUUCCCCGCUCAUAAGAAACAAGUUGCUUUAAGGGAAAUAUAUAAUUUUGUGCAAAUUGAAGAAGAGAGUCUCCCACAAGCUUGGGGGAGGCUUCUCCGAUUACUUAAUGCUUUGCCUGAUCAUCCUCUCAAGAAAAAUGAAAUACUUGAUAUCUUUUAUAAUGGACUAACCGAUGCUUCCAGAGACCACCUGGAUAGCUGUGCUGGUUGUGUUUUCAGGGAAAGAAUUGUUAAUCAAGCUAAAUUGCUAUUGAAUAAUAUGUUGACUAAUGAAAAUAAUUGGACACUUCCUGAACCAACUCCUAAGCCAACUCCGAAGAAAAGGGGUAUUCUAUUUCUCAGUCCUGAAGAUAUGCAAGAGGCAAAGAAAUCAUUGAAAGAAAAAGGUAUUAAAGCUGAAGAUGUUAAGAAUUUACCACCUAUUGAAGAAAUACAUGGUCUUGAUAACCCGACAUAGGUAGUAAAGGUAAAUUAUCUCUAUAGAUAUGAUAAAGCUAAAAUCCUGCCCACUAAGUUUGCUAGCCAAUGCUUAGAUGAGUUUCAUAAUUUUAUGGUCAACCAAGAAGACUUCAAUGCUUAUGUUGGUAGACAAUUGAAACGUAAUGCUUAUAUGAUUGAACACUUGAGUGAUUAUAUGGCUAGUGUUAAGGGUGAACUUAAACUUAUUAGUAAACAUGCUUCUAUGGUUACCACUCAAGUAGAACAAGUACUUAAAGCUCAGAAUGAUUUGCUCAACAAAUUAGAUAAUAAGAAAAAUGAUAAUGCUAUUAGAGUUGUGACUAGAGGGGGUAAAAUGACUCAGGAACCUUUGUAUCCUGAGGGCCACCCUAAGAGAAUUGAGCAAGAUUCUCAGAGAACUAAUGUUGAUGCACCUAUUUCUUCUAAGAAGAAGAAAAAGAAAAAUGAUAGGACUUUGCAUGCUUCUAGUGAACCUAUUGUUGACACACCUGAGAAUCCCAAUGAUAUUUCUAUUUCCGAUGCUGAAACACAAUCUGGUAAUGAACACAAACCUAGUGAUAAUGUUAAUGAUGAUGUUCAUGUUGAUGUUCACCCUAGCAAUGAUAAUGAUGUAGAGAUUGAACCUGUUGUUGAUCUUGAUAACCCACAAUCAAAGAAUCAAUGUUAUGAUAAGAGAGACUUUGUUGCUAGGAAGCACGGUAAAGAAAGAGAACCAUGGGUUCAGAAACCCAUGCCUUUUCCUCCUAAACCAUCCAUUAAAAAGGAUGACAAGGAUUUUGAGCGCUUUGGUGAAAUGAUUAGACCUAUCUUCUUGCGUAUGCGUUUGACUGAUAUGCUUAAAAUGAAUCCUUAUGCUAAGUACAUGAAAGAUAUUGUUACAUAUAAAAGAAAGAUGCCGGAAGCUGGAAUUUCCACCAUGCUUGCUAAUUAUACUUUUAAGGGUGGAAUACCAAAGAAACUAGGAGAUCCAGGAGUACCAACUAUACCAUGCUCCAUUAAAAUAAACUAUGUUAAAACUGCUUUAUGUGAUCUUGGAGCUAGUGUUAGUGUUAUGACUCUCUCUUUAUAUCGUAGACUUGAUUUGAAUAAGUUGACACCUACUGAAAUAUCUUUGCAAAUGACCGAUAAAUCAACUACUAUACCUGUCGGUAUUUGUGAGGAUGUGCCUGUUGUGGUUGCAAACGUUACUAUUUUAACGGACUUUGUUAUUCUUGAUAUUCCUGAGGACGAUAGUCUGUCUAUUAUUCUUGGUAGACCCUUUUUGAAUACUGCAGGGGCUGUUAUUGAUUGCAACAAAGGCAAUGUCACUUUUCAUGUUAACGGUAAUGAGCAUACGGUACACUUUCCGAGGAAACAACCUCAGGCCCACAGUAUCAAUUCUAUUGGAAAAACUUCAACGAUUACUAUUGGAGGUUUUGAAUUUCCUCUUCCUACUGUCAAGAAGAAAUAUGAUAUUCUUAUCGUUGGGGACAUGCAUAUCCCCGUUGAGGUAACCUAGUGCUAUUCGAAAAUUCUCCGGUUUCAUGCGAUUCGGAAUGAGUUUGUUAACAAGACUGGAUCAACCUUGUUAGUAGAUUCCUUUUGAUGAGCAUGAGAUGGAUGAAGUUAGAAAGCACAACUCUCUGUACCCUCCUUUUACUUUCUGUUAUUUAUAUUAAAUAAAGCGAAAUAGUAUUUUCUGGCUGUUUUCUGAAUUAUCCUUGCAAUAAAAAAUACCCCGAAAAUAAAAGUUCUUCAAAUUGCCUGAAAAUUUAAUAUGAUUUUUUCUAGAAUAUUUGAGAAUAUCUGGCACUGAGAACACAUUAGGGGGAGCAGCCACGUGCCCACGAGGGUGGAGGGUGCGCCCUACCCCCUGGGAACGCCCCCUGUCUCGUGGACCCCAUGUGGGUCCCCUCCACUUAUCCUUGCACCCACACACUUCAUUUUGCUCCAGAAAAAAUCACCACCAGCUCAAACCCGAGUUCUAGCUCAUCUUGCUGUCAUUUCCGAUCUCCUUGCUCAAAGCUCCUCUCACAAAACUGCUUUGAGGGAUUGUUCUUCGGUAUGUGACUCCUCCAAUGGUCCAAUUAGUUUUUGUUCUAGUGCUUUAUUUAUUGCAAAUUUUUGCUGCUUAGGUGACCCUGUUCUUGAGCUUGCAUGUCAAAUUUAUGUGGUCAAAAGUAGUUUUAAUGCAUGAUAUGGCCUCUAGGCACUUGUAGGAGUAGUUGCUAUCAAUCUUGUUGAGUUUGGUUCACUUUUAUUUUGAGUUACUAAAAAUUUCAGAAAUUUUUAGGAAAUGAUGAAGAGAUUUUUGAGGGGAUCAUCGAGCCGAAGCUCGAAGGAUAAUAUAAUCUCCCUCGUACCGCGGAGGUUCGGCCGUGUGAAUGGCCUUGUGAUGGGUUCUUGAGAGAAGCCGGGAUUUAUGAAGAUUUUUAUUAUUUGGCGGAGAAUGCAGGCCUCACGGACUUCCUCCACGACUAGCACGAACAGUAUCUCUUAGUCACAAAUAUCUUUGUGAAAAAAUUUCAUUUCCAUGCUAGGAGAUCAACACCUUCGGUGGAAUUUUAUUUAUAUGAUGAGCAUAAGGAGAUGUCACUUUAUGAUUUUUGCCAGGUCUGUAAGAUACCCUUUGAGGGCAGCAUAGAGGAACCACAUCGUAAUGAUGUGGAGAGAUUUAUUGAUAUGAUUGUUGUAGGGGAAACAAGGAAAGUUUCUGAUGCAAGAAUCACUAGCGUACAUUUUCCUGUUCUAUGUUACUUUGCAAUAUUUGCUAGUAGAUGCUUAAUUGGUCGUGGGAACUGUGGAAAUCUUAGUGCCCCUGAUAUUGUUAUUUUGCGCCAUGCUUUGUUUUAUGAUACCACUUUCAGUUUAGGCGCUAUUGUUGCUAAAUGGUUAAAUCUGAACCGUACAAAGGGUCCCGUCUUAGGAGGCAUCUUCGCCUCGCGCCUUGCUGCACACUUUAACAUACCUGUUAGGCAUUAUGAGAAAGAGGAAAAGUUGCUGCCUCAUAUUUUUCUAGAUUAUAAGAGCAUGGUAGCACAUGAUUUUAUUGUUAAGAAUAAAAAGAAGAUGCUUAACUAUAGACUGAUGUUUGGUAAGAAUCACUUUGAGACUAUUACCCUGCCUGCUCCCUCUUUGUUCAACAUAUUUUCAGGCAUGUACCUUGUUUUGCUGGAGGCCGUUCAGGCAUACCAGAGCCUGACAUCAGCUCCAGAGCCGGAGCCACUAUCUGAUCCUCACUGCCAGUUUGUUUAUUAGUGGGAUCCGGAGGAGAUCGCCAACUAGUGGCACCCCGAAGACCCUUCUCAGUACACCGGAGAGGGCAAUUUUGAUCCAUGGGCAUAGACCAACUUAGGCCAAAAGCCUAAGCUUGUGGGAGUACGUAUUCCUCACCGACAUUACAUUCAUGUUCACACACUCAUGCCAGUUGUUGGUGCUCAUACUUUUUCAUUGUAUCAUCCAUGCUAGUUUAUUUUCUUUUUAAGAUUUCUUCUUGUGUGUUUGAUAAACCUUAAUAAAAAACAAAAAAAAA
rnacentral:lncRNA from 1 species